UGGGGAAUCUUGCGCAAUGGGCGAAAGCCUGACGCAGCCAUGCCGCGUGAAUGAUGAAGGUCUUAGGAUUGUAAAAUUCUUUCACCGGGGACGAUAAUGACGGUACCCGGAGAAGAAGCCCCGGCUAACUUGCGUGCCAGCAGCCGCGGUAAUACGAAGGGGGCUACGUUGCUCGGAAUUACUGGGCGUAAAGGGAGCGUAGGGCGGACAUUUAAGCAGGGGGUGAAAUCCCGGGGCUAAACCUGCGGAAUUGCCAUUUGGAUACUGGGUGUCUUGAGUGUGAGAGAGGUAUGUGGAACUCCGAGUGUAGAGGGUGAAAAUUCGUAGAUAUUCGGAAGACACCAGUGGCGAAGGCGACAUACUGGCUCAUUACUGACGCUGAGGCUCGAAAGCGUGGGGAGCAAACAGGAUUAGAUACCC
rnacentral:rRNA from 1 species